rnacentral:rRNA from 1 species
AGUCUGGUGCCAGCACCCGCGGUAAUUCCAGCUCCAAUAGCGUAUAUUAAAGUUGUUGCAGUUAAAAGCUCGUAGUUGAAUUUAAGGUCAAUGAUUGGAAUAUUAGUUCCUCAAAAGGACUAGUAUUUUAAUCAUACCUGAUGUUUGAAUUGCUUACCUGCACUUAAUUGGGUGGGUAGCACGAUUCAGGCCGUUUACCUUGAAGAAAUUGGAGUGUUAAAAGCAAGCGUUUUGUUUGAACAUGUUAGCAUGGGAUAAUAAAAUAUGACAUCUGUAGAUUCGUUGACGUAUCAAGCAGGUGUAAUGAUGGAUAGGGGUAGCGGGAGUGGUUGGUAUUUAGCGGCUAGAGGUGAAAUUCUUAGAUUCGCUAAAGACUCACAGAAGCGAAAGCGUUCCACGACAAUACCCCCGUUGAUCAAGAACGAAAGUUAGGGGAUCGAAGACGAUCAGAUACCGUCGUAGUCUUAACUAUAAACUAUGCAGACCAAGGAUUAGGUGAUGUUCGUUAACCGACUUGCCUAGGACUUUGUGGGAAACCAAUGAGUCUUUGUGUUCUGGGGGGAGUAUGGUCGCAAGGCUGAAACUUAAAGGAAUUGACGGAAGAUCACCACCAGGAGUGGAACCUGCGGCUUAAUUUGACCCAACACGGGAAAACUCACUCGGACAGGACAUAGUAAGGAUUGACAGAUUGAAAGCUCUUUCUUAAUUUCUAUGGGUGGUGGUGCAUGGUCGUUCUUAGUUGGUGGAGUGAUUUGUCUGGUUAAUUCCGAUAACGAACGAGACCUCAACUUAUUAACUAGUGUUAGAAAAGUUCUAAUGGUUGAAGCAUUAUGAAGUUGUUAGCACAGGAAACUGUGUCUAGCAGUGACGUAGUGUGGAUGCUUGAACAUUUUCUGAUAAUUUAACUUCUUAAAAGGACUGUUGGUAUCUAACCAAAGGAAGUGAGACAAUAACAGGUCUGUGAUGCCCUUAGAUGCCCGUGCCGCACGCGCGUUACACUGAUUAUAGCAACAAGUUUUUACCUGUUCUAAAUGGAAUGGGAAAUCUUGUGAAUUGUAAUCGUGACAGGGAUCGAUCAUUGUAAUUAUUGGUCGUGAACGAGGAAUUCCUAGUAAUCGCAAGUCAUUAGCUUGCGUUGAUUACGUCCCUGGUCUUUGUACACACCGCCCGUCGCUCCUACCGAUUGGAUGGUCCGGUGAGUUUACUGGACGUUGGGGGUUCACUCUUUACGGGGUGUCCUAAUGAAAAGUAUGCAAACCUUACUAUCU